UACGGAGGGAGCUAGCGUUGUUCGGAAUUACUGGGCGUAAAGCGCACGUAGGCGGCUUUGUAAGUUAGAGGUGAAAGCCCGGGGCUCAACCCCGGAAUUGCCUUUAAGACUGCAUCGCUUGAAUCCGGGAGAGGUGAGUGGAAUUCCGAGUGUAGAGGUGAAAUUCGUAGAUAUUCGGAAGAACACCAGUGGCGAAGGCGGCUCACUGGACCGGUAUUGACGCUGAGGUGACGGAAAGCGUGGGGAGCAAACAGG
rnacentral:rRNA from 1 species